rnacentral:rRNA from 1 species
UACGUAGGGUGCUAGCGUUGUUCGGAAUGACUGGGCGUAAAGGGCGCGUAGGCGGCUCGUGAAGUCGGGUGUGAAAGCCCGGGGCUCAACCCCGGAACGGCAUCCGAUACUGGCGGGCUUGAGACCGGGAGAGGAGGGUGGAAUACCCAGUGUAGAGGUGAAAUUCGUAGAUAUUGGGUGGAACACCGGUGGCGAAAGCGGCUCUCUGGCCCGGAUCUGACGCUGAGGCGCGAAAGCGUGGGGAGCAAACAGG